rnacentral:tRNA from 1 species
GCCGCCUUAGCUCAGUUGGUAGAGCAUUACAUUCGUAACGUAAAGGUCCCCAGUUCGAUCCUGGGAGGCGGCUCCA